rnacentral:rRNA from 1 species
UACGUAGGGGGCUAGCGUUGUCCGGAUUUACUGGGCGUAAAGGGCGCGUAGGCGGCCACCGCAAGUCGGUUGUGAAAUCUCUGGGCUUAACCCAGAAAGGUCAACCGAUACUGCGGGGCUAGAGUGCAGAAGGGGCAACUGGAAUUCUCGGUGUAGCGGUGAAAUGCGUAGAUAUCGAGAGGAACACCUGCGGCGAAGGCGGGUUGCUGGGCUGACACUGACGCUGAAGCGCGAAAGCGUGGGGAGCAAACAGG